ensembl:lncRNA
GUAUUUAUUUAAAGGCCUAUCCCUUGUUGGUAUUUAUUUAAAGGCCUAUCCCUUGUUGGUAUUUAUUUAAAGGCAUAUGUUUGGUCUGUAGUUGAGUGAGGCUAGUUCCUGCUGUGUCCCAUGGUCUGGACUUUACAUCUCUGGCUCUGGUGGUCCAUUGUGUGUGAUACGUCUCUUAACUUCUGAACAUGUCUUAUGUUUCUUAAGGAGGCUAGGAAGACGCAUGAAGCCAGCUUCAAUGUGUUCAGCAUGUUUCAGCAGAGACUCUCUACUUAUUUAGUCGUCUCCCUCUCUCCUUCUCUUGUUGUCUCCUCUCUCCUUCUUUAGUUGUCUCCUCUCUCCUUCUUUAGUUGUCUCCCUCUCUCCUUCUUUAGUUGUCUCUUCUCUCCUUCUUUAAUUGUCUCCUCUCUCCUUCUUUAGUCGUCUCCCUCUCUCCUUCUUUAGUUAUCUCCCUCUCUCCUACCUUAGGUUGUUUCCUCUCUCCUUCUUUAUUAUCUCCCUCUCUCCUUCUUUAGUCGUCUCCCCCUCUCCUUCUUUAGUUAUCUCCCUUUCUCCUUCUUUAGUUAUCUCCCUCUCUCCUUCUUUAGUCGUCUCCCCCUCUCCUUCUUUAGUUAUCUCCCUCUCUCCUUAUUUAGUUGUCUCCCUCUCUCCCUCUCUCCUUCAUUUACUCUGUUG